rnacentral:rRNA from 1 species
UACGUAGGGGGCAAGCGUUGUCCGGAAUCAUUGGGCGUAAAGCGCGUGUAGGCGGUUCGAUAAGUCUGCUGUGAAAGUCCAGGGCUCAACCCUGGGAUGCCGGUGGAUACUGUCGAGCUAGAGUACGGAAGAGGCGAGUGGAAUUCCCGGUGUAGCGGUGAAAUGCGCAGAUAUCGGGAGGAACACCAAUUGCGAAGGCAGCUCGCUGGGACGUUACUGACGCUGAGACGCGAAAGCGUGGGGAGCAAACAGG